GAUGAACGCUAGCGGCAGGCUUAACACAUGCAAGUCGAGGGGUAUAGUUCUUCGGAACUAGAGACCGGCGCACGGGUGCGUAACGCGUAUGCAAUCUACCUUUUGCAGAGGGAUAGCCCCAGAGAAAUUUGGAUUAAUACCUCAUAGUAUAGCAGUUUCGCAUGAAACCACUAUUAAAGUCACAACGGCAAAAGAUGAGCAUGCGUCCCAUUAGCUAGUUGGUAAGGUAACGGCUUACCAAGGCUACGAUGGGUAGGGGUCCUGAGAGGGAGAUCCCCCACACUGGUACUGAGACACGGACCAGACUCCUACGGGAGGCAGCAGUGAGGAAUAUUGGGUCAAUGGACGCAAGUCUGAACCAGCCAUGCCGCGUGCAGGAUGACGGUCCUAUGGAUUGCAAACUGCUUUUGUACGAGAAGAAACAACAUUACGUGUAAUGUCUUGACGGUAUCGUAAGAAUAAGGAUCGGCUAACUCCGUGCCAGCAGCCG
rnacentral:rRNA from 1 species